rnacentral:rRNA from 1 species
CAGUAGCCGCGGUAAUACAGAGGCCUCAAGCGUUGUUCGGAUUCAUUGGGCGUAAAGGGUGCGUAGGUGGCUUGGUAAGUUGAAGGUGAAAUCUCGGGGCUUAACCCCGAAACUGCCUUCAAUACUGCUAGGCUCGAGGACUGUAGAGGAGAAUGGAAUUCACGGUGUAGCAGUGAAAUGCGUAGAUAUCGUGAGGAAGACCAGUGGCGAAGGCGAUUCUCUGGGCAGUUCCUGACACUGAGGCACGAAGGCCAGGGGAGCAAACGGGAUUAGAUACCCCGGUAGUCCCUGUCUCUUAUAC